CCAACAGGGAUUGCCUCAGUAACGGCGAGUGAAGCGGCAAAAGCUCAAAUUUGAAAUCCCCCGGGAAUUGUAAUUUGAAGAGAUUUGGGUCCGGCCGGCGGGGGUUAAGUCCACUGGAAAGUGGCGCCACAGAGGGUGACAGCCCCGUGAACCCCCUUAACGCCCUCAUCCCAGAUCUCCAAGAGUCGAGUUGUUUGGGAAUGCAGCUCUAAGUGGGUGGUAAAUUCCAUCUAAAGCUAAAUACCGGCGAGAGACCGAUAGCGAACAAGUACAGUGAUGGAAAGAUGAAAAGCACUUUGAAAAGAGAGUGAAAAAGUACGUGAAAUUGUUGAAAGGGAAGGGCUUGCAAGCAGACACUUAACUGGGCCAGCAUCGGGGCGGCGGGAAACAAAACCACCGGGGGAAAUGUCCCUUUCGAGGGAUUAUACCCCGGCUCCUCUAUUUCCUCGCCACCCCGAGGCCUGCAAUCUAAGGAUGCUGGCGUAAUGGUUGCAAGUCGCCCGUCUUG
rnacentral:rRNA from 2 species